ACUCUUUUGCUUACGUGGCCGCACCGCUAAAUUCAAUUUUCCGGAUAACCCACCGGAGAUAGCUGGUGGGCGAUCGCUUUCUCCACAUGAGAUUCAAGCAGCUGCUGCGAGAUUUGCAAAUUCGGAGCCUCCGAGGAGAACCCAGUCGGAUAAUUGUUUAAUGGAUCAAUCAGUUGUGACGGAAUCGCAAGCAGAGUCGCCGUGUGCUUCGGUUGUGUCAGAUUUGACUGCGCACAUAGAUGGCAAUGAACUGAUGAUGGAUAUCCCAUUCUUGGAUUCGCUAGCAAAUACGGGUUCGGGUAAUUACCCGGCGGAUUACGGUAUAUUCCCGGGUUUUGAUGAUCUUGGGAACGAUUUUUUUCCAGAAUUAACAGAACUUAGCUUGGACUCUGGAGAGGAUAACUUUGAUUGUGUUUUAAGCCAGGAUUCAUUUCUUUGGAAUUUCUAAGGAGAUAAAAUUCGGGUCAGAUAGUUUCUGGACAAUUUUAGUACCCAGAAGUUACUGACACCUUUUUUUUACCCGAAAAUGGCAAAUCGGGUACUGAUUAUUUAGAUGAUGGACCAUUUUUUGUAAAGGCCAUCAUUAGGGAAGUGCAAAAUUUCUUUGUUCAAUUCCUUAAGUAUAAAUAGAUCACAGACAACAACUUAAGUCUGUAAAUUUUGUAACUAGUUAAAUUAUCAGUUAUAAUAAGAGAGUUAUAAAUUGG
rnacentral:misc_RNA from 1 species